rnacentral:rRNA from 1 species
AUGGAUGGACUUCCCAAAGAACUGCUCGCCGACGUCAUCCGCGCCUCCAGCCACGGAGCCUCGCCGUGUGCCGGAGCGUCUGCCAAGGGCUGGCGCGCCGUGGCCGACGCCGGCGGGAUGCCGCUCACGGUCGCGCACCUCAUGCCACGCCGCCUGAGGGGCAUCUACAUCAACUACGUCGGGCAGAACCGCCCCUACUUCUUCUCCCGCGAGCCGACGAGCCCCAGCAUAGACGCCGCCCUCAAAUCCAUGCCGCCCCAACACGGGGGCUGGAAAACCGUCCUGGAUCACCGCAACGGCCUCAUCCUCUAUGGCAGCGGCACUGCCAGAACGCCCUCAUCCGCAAUUACGACAAUGCGUGUGUGCAACCCUGCAACGCGGCGGUGGACAACGCUGCCCCCGCGGCCCACUGGUCGCAUUGUGUUGCCGUACCUCGUCUUCGACCCAACCACGUCGCUGCACUAUGAUGUGCUAUGCUUCCCCGAGGAGCCCGAUCAUGCCUCGUGGCCGUCUUCGGGAGCAAAUCAUAACACGGAUGAAAUUAAUGAUCUGGGCUCCGUGGAAUGGCCACCGUCCUCGUACGCGGUGCAAGGGUUCUCGUCCAGAACCGGCCGGUGGGAGGAGCGGCGUUUUGUCCGGGAAGGCGAUACGACUGUUACCCUGUCGGACAUUUGGUCAGAUCCAUGGCACCCAAGAAGCGGAAGGCUAACGUAUUCGUAUAGCUCUCCACGGUGCCACGGCGUGUAUUGGCGAGAGAAAUUCUACCUUCAUUGCCGCGGUGGCUUCGUCAUCAGGUUGUCAUUGCAAGAACAGAAGUAUCUACUUAUCAAAACCCCGAAAUCAGAUACUUUUGUCAGGGGUCCGUUGUCACCAGAUACUGAGGGUAUUAUACCAUCUGUCUACCUUGGGAAAUCAAAGCAAGGUUUCUAUUACACCGCUCUCUAUAGACACCAAAUCCGAGUGUGGGUACUUCAUGAAGCAUCAGAGUCACGUCGAACGCUGGAGUGGACACUAAGGCAUGAGGCUGUCCUCAAACCCUCAAUUGCGCGACACUACUCCCGAGUUUAUAGACAAGAAGAGAUUGCGGAGUCAUGGAACUUAGACCGUGCUGGUCAUAUUUGGGCGCAAACAAGCAUAAAAGACCAUGACUGGGACUCUAAUAACGAUAGUGACAUCCACGAUAGAGGAGAAGAAGGGGCGUCUAUACCAAAGGCCGAGAAGAGUCGCAUAGAUUUCAAAAUGAGCCUGGGAUUUGACUUGUUGGGAUUCCAUCCUUAUAAAGAGAUUGCUUUCUUGGGGCAAGAUUUUGAUGGGUUUGCUUACUUUGUUUCUAGGAUGAAAAUCUACAUCCAGGCGUUGGACAACCCUCUCUAUGUUGAGAGCUCAGAUACUAUCAACAGUGUUAAGGCAAAGAUUGAUGAUGAGUACGCGACGGCAGCGACGGCGGAGCACGAGCAGGUGAGGGGCGGCGCCUUCGUCGGACGGCUAGCCACGGCGGAGGAGAAGGCGGACGCCAUCGGUGCGGCUACAGACGAGGCGGAGGAGAAGGCGGACGCCGUGGGCUUGCUGCACGGCUACAGCCGAGGCGGAGGAGAAGGCGGACGUCGUGGGCGUUCAUGGAGGAUGGUACGCCGGCGCCGGCCGCCAGUCCUCGCUGGCCUCCUCCGUGGUAUCCUUCUCAACCUCCGCUGCUCCUAUCGUUAUUUGGAUGGAAAAUUGGAGGCCGGCCGUGUCCUUCUCCAACACAAAUUGAUGUAG